rnacentral:lncRNA from 1 species
AUCCAUUUGGAAACGGAGAAAUGAACCUUCUCGCGAGAGAUGGAUUCAGACUUGUGACACUCCUUGAGUCCUUGAGGCAAUUCCUCACUAGGUUCGCACAUAAUAUGUUCGAGUACGUUACGUACGUCGUUCCCGCGGCCCUCCAAAAUGGCACCGCAGCGUUUGACGCCAUCCCUAUCUCUCUCUCUAUGAACUUUCUUUCUCACCAACACCACACAGAACAUACUCACCGCCGCACCUCAAUCGGAUAUGGAGAUAUAUCAAGUGUACCUAAUCAACAUAUAUAUGCACCACCGGACUCUACCGGGUUAUAAUAGAUAUUUGGACAAAACUACCCUCCAUUCUUUUCUUUCGAUUGGUUUUUACACUUGAAUCCCUCGCCGAAUUCAGUUAAUCAAAUCAACUAUAUAAAUAUUAUAUAGCACAAACUUAGUUUGGUUUGAUUUGGUUUCACCAAUUUCAACUUUCUUAAUUCAUAUUAUCCAGAUUUCUAUUAAUUAAAUACUAUUCAAAUUUAAAAAUAUUCCUAUCCGAGGAAUAGGAAAAAAAUUCCUUCCUAUUCAAAUUAGUAAAAGUACUAUGCAAAUUUAUAAUACUUAAUAAUUAAAUAUAACGUAUUCAAAAGAAACCCAACCAAUCUCUAAUAAAAAAAAUAACCUCUAAAAGAAUUUUUAGUUUUAGUUUUACCAAUUUUAUUACAAAUUUGGUAAAACACACUUCACUAAAAAAAUAACUUGCAAAACAAUUACAAACAAUAAUAUUUGCAAAUAUUUAAACAUAACCUGCUGCAAUCAGAUAUAGCAGCUGACUAACCAACAUCUAGAAAACAAUAAUAUGACUCAUUCUGGAUUAACUUUCUCGCUCAGCAAAGGUUAUUACAAAAGAACUCCAAGAAGUGCAGCCCAGGUAAAAGAUUAAUUAACAGGCACCUGAAGAACAGAUACAUUGAAAAGAUAUAAAGUUCUCAAAUCAACUAUGGCUGAAUCCAAACACCUGGGUGCCCACAGUUACAGCCUAGGUUACUGUCGAGUAUGAUGGGUUAAUGACCUAGGUUACUCAUUUUCUAUGGUAAACAUAGUACGGCCCUCUCCCUCUCCCUCCCCUUCUCUCUCUUCUUUUCUUUUCUUAGGUUCUGUAACACACUAGAUCUUUAAAAGUCCGUUCUUCAACUGACUGUAUAAAGAAAUAAGUGUUGUAGCUCCUACUAAUUUGUAAACCAUGCAUCAUAACUGUUAAAAAGUAAUCACAAAGUUUAAGUGAUAACACUUAUUAAGAACAAAAGUUUAGCAUAAAGAAUAAAAUGUUUUAUAUUCAUAAAUUUGUUUAUUUUUGGUCAGAAAGGUUGCCUGCACCACAUCAGGCGCGAGGCCAUGAUAUCUACAAUUAAAUUAAAACAUGACAAGGAUGAUUCUAUGCAAAGACUCUUACUUCAAUUAGAUAUGGACUCAGACAUGUGAUGAAACAUUUAAUAUUUUCAGUGCAGAAUACACUUCAGGUAAGAAAAGAAUAAAUAUAUCAUAUUGAAGUUUCCAUGCAUAGUUUCUUUCAAGGCUACAUCUAGUGGUGGACCUAGAAGUUGCAUACCAUAAAAUUUAGACUUUUGUGGGAGUAAGAAUAAGGUAUGUAUCUGCCCCUCCAAAAAAAUGAUAUCACUGACAAAAUUACUUAUAAUUGGGCUUUCAUUUCAUUUUGAAUCUCCAAAUAAACUUUCUUUGCCUAGGGUACAAUUUUGACUAAAUCACUAAACCAUCCUAAGUUCCCACACAUAUGGAGUCCACGAUUGUUUUGUUGUUUUACGGAUAAGUAAAUAAUCAUCAUUAGAAAGCCCAUAUAAUGCCCCUAUGCAAAAGAGCACAUACAAAAAUUGGGACAAGUAUGCGCGAAAGCACUAGUUGCUAAACUCACUAAUGAAUUCAUGGAAGCCUCUGUAAUCACUAGUUGUGUUCAAGAAAUACCUUAAAUUCACCAAGUAGAAAUAUAUAAUAUGGCCUCUUUAUUAUUAGAUAUCUAAACUGAUUGCUCCCCAGCCUUUAGGGUUCUGUUGCUAAACUAAUAUAAAACUCAAAUAUGUAGUGACUAUCUAGACAACAAUCUUUGCUCUUUUUGAUUGGGCUCCAUAAAUGAAUCAAUUGACUGUAGACUACUAGACUCUAUACAUGACUAACCACACAACUUGUCACAAUCCAUAAUCUUCAGAAAAAGAUAUCAAUCGGAUACAUCCAAAAUAAAUUAAAAAAACCAGAUGCUCGGGGAUAGAAAAUAUAAUUAAACACUCAGAAAUUUUAUUCUUGGUAAGUUUUGACACUCGGAAAAUAGCAAAAAAAGUGAAGAAACCAUUUUCCAGAAAGAGAUGGGGCUAGCUAAGUAAAAAAAAAUGCAAUUAUACUACUUGAAAACAUGUAUGGGCAGGAUUAAAAAUAUUUGUGUUUUAAUUAAACAAAUAUAUACGAGUGUAUUACCAGAUAUUGUACUCAUCAUUCAACAGUACAGCAUGAAGAGAAUAUAAAUCCCUUUGAGAAAGUAUCACUUAGGGAAUAUCAACAAGUUUGUUUAAUCGAUACAAAUUGUGACCCAACACUAACCUUGUUUAUGCGAUGCGAGAAAAUGUUUGUUUGUUUGUUGUUUAUCUUGUUCAGGGUGUAAACGCUUGUGUGACUAUUAAAAUUUGUUGAGCAACCACAUCUACCCACACAUACACAUCCAACAGAGAGAAAACAUGAAAAGCCUAUAACCCUAAAUCGGAAAACUAAUAUCAUCUCGAGACCAUUGACAGAAGCCUAAAAAACAAAUUUCAUUAAGAAUCGCGUAGUAGACUAUGAAUAAUAAUCUAGUCAACAAGUAAAGAGAAAAUCCGGUCAAGAUAUGAAGCAGAAAGAUAAUACAUCAGAGGGAGAUAACAACUAACUGGGUUUCUGAGGCUUUCCGUCAAUCCAUUUGGAAACGGAGAAAUGAACCUUCUCGCGAGAGAUGGAUUCGGACUUGUGAGGCUCCUUGAGGCAAUUCCUCACUAGAUUUGCACAUAUGUUCGAGUACGUUACGUACGUCAUUCCCGCAGCCCUCCAAAACGGCACCACAGCGUUCGACGCCAUUUCUCUCUCUGUACUUUCUUCCUCACCGACAACACCGAACAGACUCACCGCCGCACCUCAAUCGAUCUGGAAUAGAGCUGGCAAUAUAGGUC